AUGAAUAAAAGUACUGAUUUCUUUAAACAAAAGCAUUGUGCGUUUGAAAUAAACAUGGGUAAUACCUGCAUAAUGCUGCAUAAUCAAACCCGGCCAUGGUUUCCUCACUGCGUUUGCUCUGUGUGUGUCUCCAGGCUCUCCGUUUGCUCCCGGGACUCUCGGUCAGCUGCAGCAGCACUCACUGACCGGUCAGAGCAUCACGGGUCUGCCCGCCACCGUCUCGCUCACCGGUGGAGCGAUGCAGCAGCAGCUCCAGACCAUCCAGGUCCAGUCCAGCGGUCAGUCCAGCUCCGUCAGCACCAGCUCCAGCAGUCCAGAGAUCUCUCACACCAGUCUCUCUCUCCUACAGUCAGUCUCCCAGCAACCAUCGUCACCUCCUCGGGUCACAUGAUGUAUCCCAGCCCACACACAGUCAUGUACGCAUCAGCGCCCACGCUAGCAGACGGGAGUCUAGCUGUGCUCAACGCCUUCACACAGGGACAGGUGUCACACACACCGACUCAGGACACGGGUGAGACACACACUCUCACUCUCUCUCUCACUCUCACACAACACACACACACACACACACACACACAGAGAUGA
rnacentral:lncRNA from 1 species